rnacentral:rRNA from 1 species
CUUAGAAGCAGCCACUCAUUAAAAGAGUGCGUAAUAGCUCACUGGUCGAGUGAUUCUGCGCCGAAAAUUUAACGGGGCUAAACUGUACACCGAAGCUUGGGAUACAUCUAAUGUAUGGUAGGAGAGCGUUGUAUACGGGGUGAAGUCAGAGCGGAAGCGCUGGUGGACUGUAUACAAGUGAGAAUGCCGGAAUGAGUAGCGAGAAUUAUGUGAGAAUCAUAAUGGCCGAAAGACUAAGGUUUUAGAAGGAAGGUUCGUCCGCUUCUAGUCAGCCGGGAGCUAAGGCGAGGCCGAAAGGCGUAGUCGAUGCACAUACGGUGGAGAUUCCGUAGCCGCCAUUAAUUUAAACAGAGGGACACUUUCAAGGGGCAUGACCCGGGCGUUGGUAGACCCGGGCGUAAGGGACCGAAGAUUAGUAGGGAAGCAUGCUUUAAGGAAGGCGAGAAAAGCUCUGUGUAUAGAAGAUGGCGCCCGUACCGCAAACCGACACAGGUAGUCAGGAAGAGAAUUCUAAGGCCAACGGGAGAAGGGUAGUUAAGGAACUCGGCAAAUUGACCCCGUAACUUCGGAAUAAGGGGUGCUCACGAGAGUGAGCCGCAGUGAAUAGGUCCAGGCGACUGUUUAUCAAAAACACAGCUCUCUGCUAAAUCGAAAGAUGACGUAUAGGGGGUGACACCUGCCCGGUGCUGGAAGGUUAAGAGGAAGGGUGCAAGCUCUGAAUUGAAGCCCCAGUAAACGGCGGCCGUAACUAUAACGGUCCUAAGGUAGCGAAAUUCCUUGUCGGGUAAGUUCCGACCCGCACGAAUGGUGUAACGAUCUGGGCACUGUCUCAACUACCCACCCGGCGAAAUUGUAGUACCGGUGAAGAUGCCGGUUACCCGCGGCAAGACGGAGAGACCCCAUGGAGCUUUACUGUAACCUGAUAUUGGGUUUCGGUAUUUUAUGUACAGGAUAGGUGGGAGACUAUGAAACUAAGGCGCCAGCCUUAGCGGAGUCGCCCUUGGGAUACCACUCUUAAAGUACUGAAAUUCUAACCUGCGGCCGUGAAUCCGGUCGGGGGACAUUGUCAGGCGGGCAGUUUGACUGGGGCGGUCGCCUCCAAAAGAGUAACGGAGGCGCUCAAAGGUUCGCUCAGCAUGGUCGGAAACCAUGCCUUAGAGUGUAAACGCAAAAGCGAGCCUAACUGCGAGGCUGACGGGCCGAGCAGUAACGAAAGUUGGAGUUAGUGAUCCGGCGGUAUGUGAAUGGAAAUGCCGUCGCUCAACGGAUAAAAGCUACCCUGGGGAUAACAGGCUGAUCUCCCCCAAGAGUCCACAUCGACGGGGAGGUUUGGCACCUCGAUGUCGGCUCAUCACAUCCUGGGGCUGUAUUCGGUCCCAAGGGUUCGGCUGUUCGCCGAUUAAAGUGGUACGCGAGCUGGGUUCAGAACGUCGUGAGACAGUUCGGUCCCUAUCUGUCGUGGGCGUAGGAUAUUUGAAGAGCGCUGUCCCUAGUACGAGAGGACCGGGAUGGACGCACCGCUGGCGCAUCGGUUGUCAUGCCAAUGGCACGGCCGAGCAACUAUGUGCGGUUUGGAUAAACGCUGAAAGCAUCUAAGCGUGAAGCCAUCUCUAAGAUAAGAUAUCCCAUAGCAUAAGCUAGUAAGACCCCUCAAAGACUAUGAGGUUGAUAGGCUGCGUGUGUAAGUACGGCGACGUAUUUAGCUUGGCAGUACUAAUAGGUCGAGGGCUUGACCU